rnacentral:rRNA from 1 species
UACAGAGGGUGCGAGCGUUUGUUCGGAAUUAUUGGGCGUAAAGGGCGCGUAGGCGGUGCGGUAAGUCACCUGUGAAAUCUCCCGGCUCAACUGGGAGGGUGCGCCGAAUACUGAAUGACUAGAGUGCGGGAGAGGAGAGUGGAAUUCCUGGUGUAGCGGUGAAAUGCGUAGAUAUCAGGAGGAACACCGGUGGUGUAGACGGCUCUCUGGACCGUAACUGACGCUGAGGCACGAAAGCGUGGGUAGCAAACAGG